GAUGAACGCUAGCGGCAGGCUUAACACAUGCAAGUCGAGGGGUAGAGGCUUUCGGGCCUUGAGACCGGCGCACGGGUGCGUAACGCGUAUGCAAUCUGCCUUGUACUGGGGGAUAGCCCAGAGAAAUUUGGAUUUAUACCCCAUAGUAUUUUCGGUUGGCAUCAACUGAUUAUUAAAGUUUUUCGGUACAAGAUGAGCAUGCGUCCCAUUAGCUAGUUGGUAUGGUAACGGCAUACCAAGGCUACGAUGGGUAGGGGUCCUGAGAGGGGGAUCCCCCACACUGGUACUGAGACACGGACCAGACUCCUACGGGAGGCAGCAGUGAGGAAUAUUGGUCAAUGGUCGCAAGACUGAACCAGCCAUGCCGCGUGCAGGAUGAAGCAUCUAUGGUGUGUAAACUGCUUUUGUACGGGAAGAAACACUCCUACGUGUAGGGGCUUGACGGUACCGUAAGAAUAAGGAUCGGCUAACUCCGUGCCAGCCGCCGCCGUAAGAC
rnacentral:rRNA from 1 species